CCUACGGGAGACAGCAGUGAGGAAUAUUGGUCAAUGGACGAGAGUCUGAACCAGCCAAGUAGCGUGAAGGAUGACUGCCCUAUGGGUUGUAAACUUCUUUUAUAAAGGAAUAAAACGAGGCACGUGUGCCUUUUUGCAUGUACUUUAUGAAUAAGGAUCGGCUAACUCCGUGCCAGCAGCCGCGGUAAUACGGAGGAUCCGAGCGUUAUCCGGAUUUAUUGGGUUUAAAGGGAGCGUAGAUGGGUUGUUAAGUCAGUUGUGAAAGUUUGCGGCUCAACCGUAAAAUUGCAAUUGAUACUGGCAGUCUUGAGUACAGUUGAGGUAGGCGGAAUUCGUGGUGUAGCAGUGAAAUGCUUAGAUAUCACGAAGAACCCCGAUUGCGAAGGCAGCUUACUAAACUGUGACUGACAUUGAUGCUCGAAAGUGUGGGUAUCAAACAGGAUUAGAUACCCGGGUAGUC
rnacentral:rRNA from 1 species